rnacentral:pre_miRNA from 1 species
UGAUGAUGAUGUUGAUGAUGAUGAUAAUUUCGGUUAUGAUGAUGAUGAUGAUGAUGAUAAUCAUCAUCAUCAUCAUCAUCAUCAUCAUCAUCAUCAUUA